AUUUGUGUUUCUUGAACAAACAGCCCCUGUGGGUAGCUAAAGCCCAGUUUGUGUCCUUUUAUUUAUUGGAAAAACCUUUGCCUUGUAUGUCACUCCAGUAUUCUGUAGCAAAUCCCAGCAUAUCAACGGUCUCGGAGGAAGCAAGACCAAUAUGAAGAAAAAGCCUUGAAAUUGGACUCCUUGUAGGGGAGAGACUCCUUGUAGGGGAGAGGAGUGUGGACUCACGCCAGCUUGAACACCAGCACCAGCAUUUCCUUUUCUGCAACACGGAUCUGUAUUCAACUGACCACCGACUUUCGGCAGACAGUAAUUGCAAUGUAUACCAACAGUAGCGUAAAGAUUUUUUUUGUGCGUCGACCAACACAACCAGUCCUUUGUGAUAGUAUCAAAACUCCCUGAGCAUAUUUCGUUGUUCUGCAUCCGCUUAGUUCGUCUGCCGGAAGUUUUUCGACCGGUUCUACAUCCGCAAUUGACUCCAGCGGAAUGACCACUAGAAAGACAGCGAACGAGACAGUUAUAUCAACCUCGGAGGAAAAAUAUCCCUGAAACGCCAUAAGCUGGGGCCAAGAAUGCUGAGUGGAAAACGAUAAUAUGGUUUCCGUAUCAAGAAACAAAAGGACAACCAAUGCAUGCCUUAACUUUUAGAGUACUUUUGUCAUACAGUUUUUUUUAAAUAUUUCUUCAAAAGCUUAUCAAAAUGUCAAUUCACAUUUGGACAAAUUGGAUGAUAAUGAACGUACGAUAAGUAACCAUCGUACGU